rnacentral:rRNA from 1 species
GACGAACCGAGCGAACGUUGUUCGGAAUCACUGGGCUCAAAGGGCGCGUAGGCGGGCUGUCAAGUCUGGGGUGAAAUCCCGCGGCUCAACCGUGGAACUGCCUCAGAUACUGACGGCCUCGAGGGAGGUAGGGGCGAGCGGAACUAAUGGUGGAGCGGUGAAAUGCGUUGAUAUCAUUAGGAACUCCGGUGGCGAAGGCGGCUCGCUGGACCUCUUCUGACGCUGAGGCGCGAAAGCCAGGGGAGCAAACGGG